CGCAUGUGUAUUCAAUAAACUCUUCCGUUUGAUUGCAUCCUUCUGGGCCUUUGGUAUUUUGUUUUGGAUCUCAGUAUUUCGAAUCGGGACAGUUUUGGUGCCGUGACCCGGAUAUCUGAGUCCAUUGACCCGGUUCUGAGGUUCUGGUGGAGAAAAACAGAGGCCAGAGGUGGUCAAACAGGCAGACGGGACCCAGUGGUUCGGCUGAGUGUUCAGGGCCCUGACAAAAAAGGUAGGCACAGCCUGUUAAAUCAAAAUGUGCUGAUUGAAAUAUUAUAUUCUAAAUUUACUCAGCUAAAUUACUGAUGGAUGUCUGUUUGAGUAAUUGUUGAGAAAUUGAAGCUUCAUAAGAUGUUGAAAAGGUCAAGCUUGAUGUUCUUAUGAUAAAAGUGAGAAAGACAAUAAGGUGUCUUUAGAAUAUUGAAGGUGAAAUAAGUUAAUAUAUUGAAGGUGAAAUAACUUUAAAGUUCAGGGGUGGAGACCCCCCCUCUAUCGGAGACGUCCUUUAGAGCCCGCUAAGGUUGCGGUCACUCCAGAUUGACCAUCUGCUGAUGACUUGGGACCAUCAGUAUUAAAAUUGGUUAUGAUCAGAGGAUCAUGUUGGUAUAAAGUUAUUGUUUCAUAGAGAAAGUAAUCUUGGACAUAGAGGUCCGACAAACAAACCUUGGGUUGUGCAAGGUUUUCUCAUGUGAGGCAGAAUUUCAGGAAGCCAAGUGUUUGAUAGGUUUUCUGAGAAAGUAAUGUUGAGAAGAAUAAAUGUUGACAUUACUGAGUUAAUGUUGAUAAAUGUCAGUGGAUCUGCUGUGGUCCUGUAAAGAAACAUUGCUGGUUGUGAGAAGUAUUGAGUGAAUAUUUCUGAGUCUACUCUGAGUCAGUGCAGGCGUCAAGGUUGACUGAUUUGACACUGAAUGUUGCGUGUAUCACUGCCUGGCAGAUACCCAGGUUUUGAAAUAGUGUCGGAUCCCAUGAUUUUCAGGUGAUGAAUUGCCUGACAAUAGGAGUCAGAAAAGGACUUUUUGAUGCUAUAUUUUGUGUGAUUUGAGAAAGCUUGUGUUCGAAUAGACACACACACACACAUUCAUUGCAGCUGUUGGGUGUGAACAACUUCCUCUUUUAAUUUUAAACUGCGACACAUGCGUUCAUUGAACUAGAACUUCAGCAGUGAAUGAGACAGGAUUUAGAAUUUCAGAAAAUAGAGUCAGAAACGGUUUUGUGGCUCUUGGUAAACUGAUUUUGAAGGAAAAAAUCAGUGUUUAUUGUGCUGGAGUAACAGAUCCGGCGUGGUCUGAAGUGUAGAAUCAGCUGGGUGUACAGCGUUGUUGAUAUUAACAGAUCCGGCGUGGUCUGAAGUUUGGUGGAUCCGCUGAGGUCCAGAAGAAUAGUCAGUGCGGACUGCGUUGGUUUGAAUGUUGAUAAAUGAUCCAGGGAGAAUUGCCCUGGGUCUGUCUCUGUGUGUGUGAGCUGUUGAGUAACAGCCUACGCAGUUAGAAUUGGGUGCUGGUUACUUCCUCUUUUCAGUUUCGAAAAAGAAGAGUUUUGGUUUCACUUUAAAGUUUGAUUACGUAUUACUGGGUGAAACACGGUUUCACUUGUGAUUAGGGAAAUAAUAUGCUUACUUUUGGGUCUAUGAAAAUUGAAUUACAGUGGGUGAUCUCUGUGACAACAUACAGUGUUGAGAUACUGGAUGUUGAAUUGAAGAUAGUGGAUCUUGACGUUUUGUUUUUAUUGAUUUUAAAACCAGCAGAGAGUUUAUAUUUGCUCAGUCUUUUGACUGCCUGAGCUGACUUCCUCUUUCUCAGUGAACAGCUGUGUGCAGCUGAAUUAAAGGACUGAGAGAACAGAGGGGGUGAUUUUCAAGCUUUGUGCGUGUUUACACCAAAAGUGGCUGGUUUGGUGCAUUCAUGAGAGUGAAAACAGAAACUGAAGCAGCUGAAUGAAGACACACUGGGCCAGUAAGUGAACAGGAAGACCAGUGCAGAGAUGAAAACAUUGAAAGAGAACCACAGUGAGUGUUGCAAAUGGAUGAUCAUGUGCCGAGGAAUAUCCGGUUGGAUGAAAGAGGAUGUAAAGAGCAUCCUAAAGUCUUUGCAAGAUUUGCAACAGGAAAAUAAGAAACUAGAGGGACAGAUACAGACUCUGUCUAUAAACAAAGAGGAACUGGAGCUCCUGAAUGAUGUACCA